UACGUAGGGUGCGAGCGUUGCCCGGAUUUAUUGGGCGUAAAGGGCGCGUAGGCGGCUACGCACGUCCGUUGUGAAAUCGCUCGGCCUCAAGUGGGCGGGGUCAGCGGAUACGGUGUAGCUGGAGCAAGCUAGGGGGGCAAUGGAAUUCCCCGGUGUAGCGGUGAAAUGCGCAGAUAUCGGGAGGAACACCUGUGGCGGAAAGCGGCGCACUGGACCAUAACUGACGCUGGAGGCGCGAAAAGCUAGGGGAGCAAACAGGG
rnacentral:rRNA from 1 species